AAAAAUUUUAAAUACAUUAUCAUAAAAAGCCUACCUGACGCGAGAGGCACCUUGAUCAACUAGCUUGAAGGAUUCUGUGCAAUUGGACGCCCGCAAAAUGGGCUAUUUAUGGGGCAAUUAAAUCAUUGGAUUUUGCUGCCAGCGUGGAUAGUGACAACAACACCAGAAAGCUGCAGAUUGAGAUGGAUACAACUACCUGAAUGAUACAAGCAAAACGUCGACGUUUCGAGCGAAGCCCUUAAACGAGAACGACGAAGUGCCGACAGUUACUGACGAAGGGCCUUCGCUCAAAACGUAGAAGUUUUACUUUUAUUUUUUAGGUAGUUGAAUCCCUUUCGAUCCGCAAUUUUCUGAAAGAAGUCGGCAGCUUUAUUCCUGGGUUAGGGUUAGGGGUUAGUGGUUAGGGGGGUGGGGGUUAGAGGUUAGGGUUAGGGUGGGGGUUAGGGUUAACAACCCAAUACUUAUUGGGUUGUUAAGCUUAACAAUUACAAUACUAUAUUGUUG